rnacentral:rRNA from 1 species
UACGAAGGGGGGCUAGCGUUGUUCGGAAUUACUGGGCGUAAAGGGCGUGUAGGCGGCCCGUUAAGACAGGUGUGAAAUUCCUGGGCUCAACCCAGGACGUGCGCCUGUGACUGGCGGGCUUGAGUCCGGGAGAGGAUGGUGGAACUCCCAGUGUAGAGGUGAAAUUCGUAGAUAUUCGCAAGAACACCAGUGGCGAAGGCGGCUCACUGGCCCCGAUACUGACGCUGAGGUGCGAAAGCGUGGGGAGCAAACAGG